ACGUAGGUGACGAGCGUUGUUCGGAAUUAUUGGGCGUAAAGGGUUCGUAGGAGGUUUAUUAAGAUUGGUGUGAAAUCCCAAGGCUCAACCUUGGAACUGCAUUGAUUACUGAUGAACUAGAGUGUCGUAGAGGAAAGCGGAAUUCCAGGUGUAGCGGUGGAAUGCUUAGAUAUCUGGGGGAACACCUGUAGCGAAGGCAGCUUUCUAGGCGAGAUCUGACUCUGAGGAACGAAAGCUUGGGGAGCAAACAG
rnacentral:rRNA from 1 species